rnacentral:rRNA from 1 species
UACGUAGGGGGCUAGCGUUGUCCGGAAUCAUUGGGCGUAAAGAGCGUGUAGGCGGUCCGGUAAGUCCGCUGUGAAAGUCGGGGGCUCAACCCUCGAAUGCCGGUGGAUACUGUCGGGCUAGAGUGCGGAAGAGGCGAGUGGAAUUCCUGGUGUAGCGGUGAAAUGCGUAGAGAUGUGGAGGAAUACCGAUGGCGAAGGCAGCUCCCUGGGCCAAUACUGACGCUCAUGCACGAAAGCGUGGGGAGCAAACAGG